ensembl:lncRNA
AGGAAAUAUUAGGAGAAGGAACAAAUUAUAUAAUACACGAGAAAUUAUAAUUUUUUUUAAAGGAUAAAAAUAUUAUUAUUAUUAUUAUUAUUGCACCAAGUAUAUUCAACCAAGUAUUCAACCAUACUUGGUGCAACAAUAAAUAAAUAAAUAAAUAAAUAAACAAAAAUAAUAAUAAUAAUAAUAAUAAUACUCCUAUCCAGUAGGUGGUGGACAAUGCACCUUUAGUUGGUUUGCCAACCGCCAUUAAAACAGAAGAAGAAGGAGAAGAAGAGAAGGCUUGUUUUAAUAUUUCGGGGGACGUGCCUCAGUUAACUAGUCCAGAAAUCACAGCGUGCAACGCUUGAAGAAAUCGCAAUUCACGUUCGGUAUUAUUGAACACCAGCCCCUUUAAAGGUUUAACAGUGUGAAAUCACAAUCUUUCCAUACACCUCCUGGACACUUAAAUGGCCGGCUACGUUCACACUUGGGGUGUUUUAGAAGAAGAUGGAUGGGUGAGGCAGAGGGUCCAAUCGAUGGAUGCAAAUGUGUUUUUUAGGAGAGCUGAUCAGCCUUGGAGGCCGCGUGUUCUCUCUGUUCCUGCAAGCGCUGCUGUGAGUGUGAGAUACGGCAGACAGACGAGGAGAACCACAGAUGAGUUUGAUAUUCUGCUCGAAAAGCGGAUGAAGAGGAUGUGUAAGGGCAGACCAGCCUCACAGACACAGCGCUUCUCCAUGAGCUUAAGCUUCGUCUGGAGCCAUGAAGAGUGUGACGCAGACGCAGAGAGGAGGAGACACUAG